rfam:Cavia porcellus supercont2_0 genomic scaffold, whole genome shotgun sequence.
AGGGAUUUAGCUUAGCGGCAUAAGCGCCUGCCUUGCAAGCAGAGAGUCGUGAAUUCGAUCCCUG